rnacentral:rRNA from 1 species
UCGUGUCGUGAGAUGUUGGGUUAAGUCCCGCAACGAGCGCAACCCUCACCUCUUGUUGCCAUCAGGUCAUGCUGGGCACUCUAGAGGAACUGCCCCGGUCAACGGGGAGGAAGGCGGGGAUGACGUCAAGUCAUCAUGCCCCUUACGUCCUGGGCUACACACGUGCUACAAUGGCCGGUACAAAGGGAUGCCACACCGCGAGGUAGAGCUAAACCCAAAAAGCCGGUCUAAGUUCAGAUUGGAGUCCGCAACUCGACUCCAUGAAGGAGGAAUCGCUAGUAAUCGC